ensembl:processed_transcript
GCCAAAUACAGAGAAGAGUUCAAGCUCAUCAUUGAUAGAAUUGCAGUGGUGAAAUCGGAGAAUGGGGAGAAAUAUCUCAUCCUCAAGAAGAAAUACAGGCAAGAGCAAGUGUCUGGCACUAAAAAGGGAGGUGAAUCAAUCAAGCCGCUUCAUCCAAACCCACAAAAUGAGCUCCUGGUUUCCAACCCAAUGCAGAACCGUAGCCAAGCAGCUAAGACCCCGCAGCCAGUGAUGGUGGCCUGGUGCUCAGGACCCAUGAUUACAGUCACAGACGCACAAGAGCCCACGGAUAUUGAUGAUCAGACGGAGGGCGCCCUCUCACUGAAAGCUGAGCAUCAGAGCGAGGAGAUCUCAUCAUCAGACAGAGAAGAAGACCUCGACAAAGACUCGGGGUCAAAGAGUGAAUCUGAGCAGGAUGAGGAGUCUGGAGGCAGUUUGGGAUCCACCUCUGUGGCUGUG